rnacentral:rRNA from 1 species
AUGUUGAUCCACCAAUCCUUAAUGGAGCGAUGUCCAAUCCAUGAAGAAGUGUCGUUGUUAUCAAGUUUGAGUCAUGCCUUGAUCAUACCCGAAAGCCUCGCGGUGUACCGACAUUUGAAAAUUGAUGACCAACAGAUUCAAAGAUCUACUUACAAAGUGGACAAAGCCCGUAGUUUGUCCACCCCUUUUUCUCCAAUCUAUCUGUUGUCCAACGAUUUUGAAUUGCAAGGCAAGCAAAACAAAUUGACCUUUGGAGGGGUCCAAGCCUUCCAAACUGCGGAGCUCAUGGGCGAGCGAGUAGUCCCCAAGAAUAGGGCAUUGUACACAGAUGUGGCGGAGUAG